ACAGCAGUCGCCGCGGUAAUACGAGGGGAGCUAGCGUUAUUCGGAAUUACUGGGCGUAAAGCGCACGUAGGCGGCUUUGUAAGUUAGAGGUGAAAGCCCAGAGCUCAACUCUGGAAUUGCCUUUAAGACUGCAUCGCUUGAAUCCAGGAGAGGUGAGUGGAAUUCCGAGUGUAGAGGUGAAAUUCGUAGAUAUUCGGAAGAACACCAGUGGCGAAGGCGGCUCACUGGACUGGUAUUGACGCUGAGGUGCGAAAGCGUGGGGAGCAAACAGGAUUAGAUACCCCCGUAGUCCCUGUCUCUUAUAU
rnacentral:rRNA from 1 species